rnacentral:ncRNA from 1 species
UCCAUCUUGAGGUGGAAUGUGAAGGAAGCCGGCGGCAAAGUUUCGACCCGAGGAACACGAACAUCAUCAGGCAUAUGCAAUGCGGAUAAGGUUGCAACACAAACCAAAGUCCAAAAGCUACACGGGCAUUGUCGUGUAAAUGGUGCGGGUACAUGGAACGAAAGUUAUUGGU